CUCUUAAUAGACCGUGUUGUUGUUUUGCCGACAUUUCGGGACCUGUUGAAACCAAAAAGCAGGAAAACAAGAGAAUGAAUGCAAGGUGCUGGCGCUUACCAAUAUAAAGACACUUCACUUUGGCUGAUGUAGCAUACAUGACAGGUUUACGGCAGACACCUGGAACCGAAGAGCAGCUCCUGAACUCAGUCAAAGCACCUUAACACAGGCUUAAUGAUUGGAAAAAUCAUAUAAGGAGAAAUUUCAACAGCCUGCUGUUGUCAAGGUUAGCUGCAAUAUGUGACAUUUGCCGCCUUGUGUGCUUUUCCACUGCGUUGUGUGUGAACAUGCCUUUGGGACUGUACCUGCAUAAUACAGUAGGUCCAGCGAGACCGGUUGCAACAGGUCAUAGUUUGUCAGUUUAUAUACACGGUACCUGGGAAACAUGAUUGAUAUUAAAUGCUUUAUACAGUAUUUCAGCAUUCAUAUAGUCAUCAUCAUUUAGGGUGUUAGUAUGUCAAAAUACAAAUAAUGCAAUGUUUCACACUGUACAGUUAAGAGCAUUUAUUUGUACUAAAGGAUUUCUUUCAAUGCUUUAAUUCUUUCUUUUAAAUUAACUUUUUAUAAUCUACUGUACACACAGUUAAUCGACCUGCACCUAAAGUGUAUUAUACAGCAACACAGAGUAUUGUGUAUUGCCAAAAAACUUCCAUUACAUCAUUGUGCUUUUGUUUUAAAGUUAAACUCCCUUUUACAUAAUCACAUUAAAGAAAAUAUGUAACAUGUUUAAUUUCUACACUGAACAGUUUCUAUGGAGGAAACAUAUGUUUUCAUUUUCAGUAGAUUAAAGAAAACUGUUUGUUUGCCUUACAUUCAUGUCCCAGCUGGUUAGUAGGGACAGGAAAGAAAGCAGUGAAGUUUAGUGGUGUGGACAAUUUCUUCAGGUGAAGUGAGCAUGAAAGUGCAGGACUACCUAAAAGUAUGGCAUGUAAAGGGCUUUAUUUAACAUAGUAUCACAUAUUUAUUUAAUUAUUUAUUUUAAAUAAAAACGUGCGUUUGCUUAACAUUUAUGACGGCAAGUCCACCAACAGAAAAUGCAGCAUCUGCCAGGCCAUUGGUACAGCCCGUAAUGAAACUUACAAAUGAAUAUUAAAAACAGUUAUAUUUUAUAACAAAAAAAAAAGUACAAAAACUAGUAAAAAAUACACUACAUUUCAUAUCAUAAUAUUUACUAGAUUAAACACAAGCAGAAGGUAUAAUUUGUAAUUGGACCCCUACUGGAAUUAGCCAUUUUAUAUAAAAGGUAUUACCCAAAAGUCCUGGGAAUGCAUUCUGCUUUAACCCAACCCCCCCCCCCCCCACCAAAAAAAAAUAAGCCAGAAAGCAAAUAGUGAACUUUAAUUUAUUUAAAAUCACAUUUCAAUUUGCAUGACCCACAUCAAUUGAAUCCCACACUUGCAUACAUUACUUUACUGAACAAGAUACAGCGUUUUCAGUCACUAUUUAUUAUUAACAUUCUAAACUGCUAUACAAAUCCAGUACCUCCAGGAGUGUCCACAAAAAGCUUAAAAAUUCCUUAAAAUUAUUAAAUUAACUACAAUAUAAACCAUGAUCUAGGUUUUCUUAAAACAGCACCUCAAAACACACAUAAAUAAGAUUCCUUGCCAUUUUACAAAAAAGGCAGUGGUUUGAUCCAAACAAGAUUCAAGUACUUUUCAUAAAUAGUAUUUAGAAAGCACACACGGUAGCCCUUGGUUGAACAACACAAUAUUAAUUGUAUGAUGGUCAAUGAGGUACGAGAGAUAUACACACCAAAAGUGAUUACUUAUUACUUGCAACAUACUUAUUUUUAUAGGAAGCACGUGUGGAUAUACUGCAUCUUGCAUGACAGUUCUGUGAAUAACGCUUAAUAAAAGUAUUUUCCAGUUCUUCAGUUCAUUAGGGUUAAAAUAAUUUUGGCCCUUAUGGCACAAAGUAAACCUAUAGGUCACAAAAGUUCUGCUUCUACUAGGUUUACAGAAUACUGCAGUAGAUGUUUCUAAAGGACUAGAAGAUACUGAAAGCAACAAAAUUGACAUUUUAACCCUUUGCGGUUCUGUCAGGUCCGACUAAGAUUUUCCCUUUCCAGUCUGA